UACCGGAGAAUGUUAUCACGGGAGACACACGGCGGGUGCUAACGUCCGUCGUGAAGAGGGAAACAACCCAGACCGCCGGCUAAGGUCCCAAAUAACAGCUAAGUGGAAAACGAAGUGGAAAGGCCGUGACAACCAGGAAGUUGGCUUAGAAGCAGCCAUCCUUCAAAGAAAGCGUAAUAGCUCACUGGUCGAGUCCUUCUGCGCGGAAGAUGUAACGGGGCUAAGCUGUUAACCGAAGCCGCGGAUGCGCUGGUUAUCCAGUGCGUGGUAGGGGAGCGUUCUGUAAGUCUGCGAAGGCGGUUCGAGAGGACUGCUGGAGAUAUCAGAAGUGCGAAUGCUGACAUGAGUAACGUUAAAGCAGGUGAAAAGCCUGCUCGCCGUAAGCCCAAGGAUUCCUGCUCUACGUUCAUCGGAGCAGGGUGAGUCGGCUCCUAAGGUCAGGCCGAAAGGCGUAGCCGAUGGGAAUCAGGUUAAUAUUCCUGAACCUGCGUCAGAUGCGAUGGGGGGACGGAGCAUGGAAGAUCAUCCGGGUGUUGGAAGUCCCGGUUGUUUAGCGUAGGAGGUCUGCAGGCAAAUCCGCAGACGCAUCUCCAAGGCAAAGACACGUGCCGCCACGGCGGCGAAGUGAUCGGAAGUGCUUCCAAGAAAAGCCUCUAAGCCCCAGUCUGACGCGGACCGUACCGCAAACCGACACUGGUGGGCGAGCUGAAUAUGCUCAGGCGCUUGAGAGAACUCGGGAGAAGGAACUCGGCAAAUUGACACCGUAACUUCGGAAGAAGGUGUGCCGUAGUACCGUGAGAGGAGAGACACCUUGAGCGGGAAACGGUCUCAGAGAAUAGGUGGCUGCGACUGUUUAUUAAAAACACAGCACUCUGCAAAGUCGAAAGACGACGUAUAGGGUGUGAUGCCUGCCCGGUGCUGGAAGAUUAAUUGAUGGGGUGAGAGCCCUUGAUCGAAGUCCCAGUAAACGGCGGCCGUAACAAUAACGGUCCUAAGGUAGCG
rnacentral:rRNA from 1 species